CUGAACGAUGAUGUGGCACACCUGAGAAUUUGGGAGGAUUUUGCUGUUAGAGAAAAGGGAAGUGGAAAGAGCAUGUCUAAAGAAAAAAUAGAGAAUGAGAUUUUGCGUGUGUAUUUUAUUUAUUUAUUUUUAGUAGGCUCUGUUUAAAGUAAGGUCUAGAGAAGGCUGCUGAUGUGAGGGGCUUCUGCUAUGUGUGAGAAAGUGGUGUUUGGCACUACAUGUGGGAACGUGACUGAGCAGCAGAAGACUUCAGGCAUCUCAAAGAAUUUCUCAGCUGCCUUUCUGUCAUCCCUGAGUCCAAAUUACAACUGUCAAUUAUACAUGAAAGACACGGUGUCCUCUUCCUCCAAUGACAGUCACGUUGGCAUAUUGCUCACCCCUCCAACCAGAAGACCAGCGAGUGUUUUUCUCUCCUUUGCUCACAGUGGAGCAGUCCAGAGAAACAUCAAGAUGUAAACAACUGUCUAAGUUGCCUCUGUCCAUAAAAAACUUCCACCCUUGUGCUUGUCAGUUGUCGUCUUUUGUCUUUGUAUGUUGCCCGUGCUAUUCCUGGUAUCUCUUCCUUGCUAACCUUUGUGACCCCAGAAGAUGGUUUUCCCAGACCUAAUGAGAACAGGCGAGCAUAAUCUAUGUGCUUGAGAGACCUGAGCACCUUUUUGCUGUGGUAUAGUAAAAGAGGACAAGGUACAAUAGGCUGUGUUAUUCCUCCUGGUAGACAAUUAUCAUUUGCUAAUUAUAUUCUAAUAAACAUGAUUCUUGUAGAAAAGGACA
rnacentral:lncRNA from 1 species